rnacentral:tRNA from 1 species
GCCCCCGUAGUUCAAUGGAUAGAACUGGCCCGUCCUAAGGGCUCGAUGUGGGUUCGAUUCCUGCCGGGGGCA